UACGUAGGUGGCAAGCGUUGUUCGGAAUUAUUGGGCGUAAAGGGCGCGUAGGCGGUCUUGUAAGUCAGCUGUGAAAGCCCGGGGCUCAACCCCGGAGGGUCGGCUGAUACUGCAGGACUGGAGUACGGAAGAGGUAGCUGGAAUUCCCGGUGUAGCGGCGAAAUGCGUAGAUAUCGGGAGGAACACCGGUGGCGAAGGCGGGUCUCUGGGCAACAACUGACGCUGAGGAGCGAAAGCGUGGGGAGCGAACAGG
rnacentral:rRNA from 1 species